rnacentral:rRNA from 1 species
CAGGAUGAACGCUAGCUACAGGCUUAACACAUGCAAGUCGAGGGGCAGCAUUGGAGUAGCAAUACUCAGAUGGCGACCGGCGCACGGGUGAGUAACACGUAUCCAACCUGCCGCUUACUCGGGGAUAGCCUUUCGAAAGAAAGAUUAAUACCCGAUGGUAUAAAGAGUUCGCAUGUUCUCUUUAUUAAAGAAUUUCGGUAAGCGAUGGGGAUGCGUUCCAUUAGAUAGUUGGCGGGGUAACGGCCCACCAAGUCUACGAUGGAUAGGGGUUCUGAGAGGAAGGUCCCCCACAUUGGAACUGAGACACGGUCCAAACUCCUACGGGAGGCAGCAGUGAGGAAUAUUGGUCAAUGGACGAGAGUCUGAACCAGCCAAGUAGCGUGAAGGAUGACUGCCCUAUGGGUUGUAAACUUCUUUUAUAAGGGAAUAAAGUGAGGGACGUGUCCCUUUUUGUAUGUACCUUAUGAAUAAGGAUCGGCUAACUCCGUGCCAGCAGCCGC